rnacentral:rRNA from 1 species
GAGAAAGUAAAAACGAUUUCGUAAGUAGCGGCGAGCGAACGCGAAGAAGGGCAAACCAAGAAGCUUGCUUCUUGGGGUUGUAGGACUGCAACGUGGACUUAAGCAUUAUAGUCGAAUAACCUGGGAAGGUUAAUCAAAGAGGGUAAUAAUCCCGUAGACGAAAUAGCGCUUAUACCUAGCAGUAUCCUGAGUAGGGCUGGACACGCGAAAUCCAGUUUGAAUCCGGGAGGACCAUCUCCCAACCCUAAAUACUCCUUAGUGACCGAUAGUGAACCAGUACCGUGAGGGAAAGGUGAAAAGAACCCCGAGAGGGGAGUGAAAUAGCACCUGAAACCGUGUGCCUACA